GACGUAGGGCGCGAGCGUUGUCCGGAUUUAUUGGGCGUAAAGAGCUCGUAGGUGGUUCGGUAAGUCGGAUGUGAAAUCUCCAGGCUCAACCUGGAGGGGUCAUUCGAUACUGCCGUGACUAGAGGUCGGUAGGGGAGUGUGGAAUUCCUGGUGGAGCGGUGAAAUGCGCAGAUAUCAGGAGGAACACCCGUAGCGAAGGCGGCACUCUGGGCCGAUACUGACACUGAGGAGCGAAAGCGUGGGGAGCGAACAGG
rnacentral:rRNA from 1 species